rnacentral:rRNA from 1 species
AUGGGGAGGCUAACAAGUCUUUGAUUACCCCUGGUAUUAAAGACCGUAGACGUUAGAAAAUAGUUAACAAGUCAUUAACUCGGAUACCGUGACGCAGCUUACGCGUUAAGUUAACCACCUGGGGAGUACGGCCGCAAGGAUAAUACUCAAAGGAAUUGACGGGGAACCGCACAAGCGGCGGAGCAUGCGGAUUAAUUCGAUGCAACGCGAAGAACCUUACCAAGGCUUGACAUACACGAGAACGGGCCAGAAACUGCGUCAACUCUUUGGACAUGUCUCGUGAACAGGUGGUGCAUGGUUGUCGUCAGCUCGUGUCGUGAGAUGUUGGGUUAAGUCCCGCAACGAGCGCAACCCUCGUUCUAUGUUGCCAGCACGUAAUGGUGGGAACUCAUGGGAUACUGCCGGGGUCAACUCGGAGGAAGGUGGGGAUGACGUCAAAUCAUCAUGCCCCUUAUGUCUUGGGCUUCACGCAUGCUACAAUGGCCGGUACAAUGGGCUGCAAUACCGUGAGGUGGAGCGAAUCCCAAAAAGCCGGUCCCAGUUCUGGAUUGAGGUCUGUCAUCACUCGGACCUCAUGAAGUCGGAGUCGCUAGUAAUCGCAGAUCAGCAACGCUGCGGUGAAUACGUUCCCGGGUCUUGUACACACCGCCCGUCAAGUCAUGAAAGUCGGUAACACCUGAAGCCGGUGGCCUAACCCCUUGUGGGAGGGAGCUGUCGAAGGUGGGAUCGGUAAUUAGGACUAAGUCGUAACAA